ACCUCCGGAAUCAGACGUGGAUUACCCGCUGAAUUUAAGCAUAUUAUUAAGCGCGAGGAAAAGAAAUACUAACAAGGAUUCCCCU
rnacentral:ncRNA from 1 species